rnacentral:rRNA from 1 species
GCUAGUAAUCACAGGUCAGCAUACUGUGGUGAAUACGUUCCCGGGCCUUGUACACACCGCCCGUCACACCAUGAGAGUUGAGAAUACCCGAAGCCCAUGUCAAAGUGGUCGAAGGUAGGCUUGAUGAUUGGGGUGAAGUCGUAACAAGGUAUC